rnacentral:misc_RNA from 1 species
AACGCACCUUGCGCCCUUUGGUAUUCCGAAGGGCAUGCCUGUUUGAGUGUCAUUAAAUUAUCAACCUUGCUCGCUUUUACUAGCUUGAGUUUGGCUUGGAUGUGAGGGCUUUGCUGGCUUCCUUCAGUGGAUGGUCUGCUCCCUUUAAAUGCAUUAGUGGGAUCUCUUGUGGACCGUCACUUGGUGUGAUAAUUAUCUAUGCCUUGAGACUUUGAAGCAAACUAAUGGGAACCUGCUCAUAACCGUCUUCGGACAAUCUCUGACAUUUUGACCUCAAAUCAGGUAGGACUACCCGCUGAACUUAA